rnacentral:rRNA from 1 species
UACAGAGGGUGCGAGCGUUGUCCGGAAUCACUGGGCGUAAAGGGCGCGUAGGCGGCUUGAUAAGGUUGCGGUGAAAGCCCGGGGCUCAACCCCGGGUCGGCCGUGGCAACUGUCGAGCUGGAGCACUGUAGAGGCAGGUGGAAUUCCGGGUGUAGCGGUGGAAUGCGUAGAGAUCCGGAAGAACACCGGUGGCGAAGGCGGCCUGCUGGGCAGUGGCUGACGCUGAGGCGCGACAGCGUGGGGAGCAACAGG